rnacentral:rRNA from 1 species
CCUACGGGAGGCUGCAGUGGGGAAUAUUGGGCAAUGGGCGCAAGCCUGACCCAGCAACGCCGCGUGAAGGAAGAAGGCUUUCGGGUUGUAAACUUCUUUUCUCAGGGACGCAGCAAGUGACGGUACCGGAGGAAUAAGCCACGGCUAACUACGUGCCAGCAGCCGCGGUAAUACGAAGGGAGCAAGCGUUACCCGGAUUUACUGGGUGUAAAGGGCGUGUAGGCGGGACUGCAAGUCAGAUGGGAAAACUAUGGGCUCAACCUAUGGCCUGCAUUUGAAACUGUAGUUCUUGAGUGCUGGAGAGGCAGACGGAAUUCCUAGUGUAGCGGUGAAAUGCGUAGAUAUUAGGAGGAACACCAGUGGCGAAGGCGGUCUGCUGGACAGCAACUGACGCUGAGGCGCGAAAGCGUGGGGAGCAAACAGGAUUAGAUACCCGAGUAGUC